rnacentral:rRNA from 1 species
ACUUACUACUACUUAUUGUUUUAUUUAAAUCCCCUGUUUAUAUAUAGAUUUAACUCAAAAUAGAGCCAAAGCCAGAUUCAAACUUUCCCUAA